GACCAGACUCCUACGGGAGGCAGCAGUGGGGAAUAUUGCACAAUGGGGGAAACCCUGAUGCAGCGACGCCGCGUGAGCGAUGAAGUAUUUCGGUAUGUAAAGCUCUAUCAGCAGGGAAGAAGAUGACGGUACCUGACUAAGAAGCCCCGGCUAACUACGUGUCAGCAGCCGCGGUAAUACGUAGGGGGCAAGCGUUAUCCGGAUUUACUGGGUGUAAAGGGAGCGUAGACGGCGAUGCAAGCCAGAUGUGAAAGCCCGGGGCUCAACCCCGGGACUGCAUUUGGAACUGUGUGGCUGGAGUGUCGGAGAGGCAGGCGGAAUUCCUAGUGUAGCGGUGAAAUGCGUAGAUAUUAGGAGGAACACCAGUGGCGAAGGCGGCCUGCUGGACGAUGACUGACGUUGAGGCUCGAAAGCGUGGGGAGCAAACAGGAUUAGAUACCCGUGUAA
rnacentral:rRNA from 1 species